GACGUAGGAGGCGAGCGUUAUCCGGAUUCACUGGGCGUAAAGCGCAUGUAGGCGGUUGGACAAGUCGUGUGUUAAAGCCCCUGGCUCAACUGGGGGAGGUCAUGCGAGACUGUGCGACUUGAGGGCAAGAGAGGCACGUGGAACUCCCGGUGUAGCGGUGGAAUGCGUAGAGAUCGGGAAGAACAUCGGUGGCGAAAGCGCUCUACUGGACCGCAACUGACACUCAGGGACGAAAGCUAGGGGAGCGAAUGGG
rnacentral:rRNA from 1 species